UACGGGGGGGGUAAGCGUUGUUCGGAAUUACUGGGCGUAAAGGGCUCGUAGGCGGCCAACUAAGUCAUACGUGAAAUCCCUCAGCUUAACUGGGGAACUGCGUCUGAUACUGGAUGGCUAGAGUUUGGGAGAGGGAUGCGGAAUUCCAGGUGUAGCGGUGAAAUGCGUAGAUAUCUGGAGGAACACCGGUGGCGAAGGCGGCAUCCUGGACCAACACUGACGCUGAGGAGCGAAAGCCAGGGGAGCAAACGGG
rnacentral:rRNA from 1 species